rnacentral:siRNA from 1 species
UGAUUGGUCAGUUAGCAAAUCUA